CUUAGUGGCGGACGGGUGAGUAACGCGUGGGUAACCUGCCUUACACUGGGGGAUAACACUUAGAAAUAGGUGCUAAUACCGCAUAAGCGCACGAAGCCGCAUGGAUUUGUGUGAAAAACUCCGGUGGUGUAAGAUGGACCCGCGUCUGAUUAGCUUGUUGGCGGGGUAGAGGCCCACCAAGGCGACGAUCAGUAGCCGGCCUGAGAGGGUGGACGGCCACAUUGGGACUGAGACACGGCCCAAACUCCUACGGAAGGCAGCAG
rnacentral:rRNA from 1 species